UUCCAGUGGUCAUAUAUGGAUGUGAGAGUUGGACUAUAAAGAAAGAUAAGCACAGAAGAAUUGAUGCUUUUGAACUGUGGUGUUGGAGAAGACUCUUGAGAGUCCUUUGAACUGCAAGGAGAUCAAACCAGUCAAUCCUAAAGGAAAUCA